rnacentral:rRNA from 1 species
AUUAAACGCUGGCGGCAUGCCUUACACAUGCAAGUCGAACGGCAGCACGGGGGCAACCCUGGUGGCGAGUGGCGAACGGGUGAGUAAAGCAUCGGAACGUGCCCUGGAGUGGGGGAUAACGUAGCGAAAGUUACGCUAAUACCGCAUAUUCUGUGAGCAGGAAAGCAGGGGAUCGCAAGACCUUGCGCUCUGGGAGCGGCCGAUGUCGGAUUAGCUAGUUGGUGGGGUAAAGGCCUACCAAGGCGACGAUCCGUAGCGGGUCUGAGAGGAUGAUCCGCCACACUGGGACUGAGACACGGCCCAGACUCCUACGGGAGGCAGCAGUGGGGGAAUUUUGGACAAUGGGCGAAGCCUGAUCCAGCCAUGCCGCGUGAGUGAAGAAGGCC